AUUGAACGCUGGCGGCAGGCCUAACACAUGCAAGUCGAGCGGAUGAAGGGAGCUUGCUCCUGGAUUCAGCGGCGGACGGGUGAGUAAUGCCUAGGAAUCUGCCUGGUCGUGGGGGAUAACGUCCGGAAACGGGCGCUAAUACCGCAUACGUCCUGAGGGAGAAAGUGGGGGAUCUUCGGACCUCACGCUAUCAGAUGAGCCUAGGUCGGAUUAGCUAGUUGGUGGGGUAAAGGCCUACCAAGGCGACGAUCCGUAACUGGUCUGAGAGGAUGAUCAGCCACACUGGAACUGAGACACGGUCCAGACUCCUACGGGAGGCAGCAGUGGGGAAUAUUGGACAAUGGGCGAAAGCCUGAUCCAGCCAUGCCGCGUGUGUGAAGAAGGUCUUCGGAUUGUAAAGCACUUUAAGUUGGGAGGAAGGGCAGUAAGUUAAUACCUUGCUGUUUUGACGUUACCAACAGAAUAAGCACCGGCUAACUUCGUG
rnacentral:rRNA from 1 species